CAGGCCCGGCCGCCCGCCGCCUGCGCCGGCUGCGGCAGCGGAGGAGGAGGAGGAAGCCGCGGCCGAGGACGCCGAGACUGAGGACGAGGACGGCGGCGCGGCAGCGGGCGACGUGAGAAGGCCGCCGCCUCCGGGCUUGCGGGCACUGGCGGCCGCGGGAGGCUGCUGCUGCUGCUGUGGCUGGGGCUUCAGCGACAUGGAGUGGGACUUCACACAUACAAAGCAAGUUUUGAGCUCCAUCCCCGGUCUUUUUUGUUUAUUUUAAGAUAGGUCUUGCUAAGCUGCCAAUGCAGGCCUCAAAUGUACAAUCCUUCUGCUUCAGUCUCCUGAGUAUCUGGGAUUACAGUACUGUGCUGGGCACUUAGAACAGCGAAGAAAGAAGACGGGAAUCUCUGCCCUCAUGCAGCUGGCAUUCUAGCAAGGGGAGACUGCUGCCGAAACCUAGACACAUGCAACCAGACUCCUAGCUCAAGCUCCAAAGGUCUAUAACCAAAAUGCCCAAAGGGAUAAAAGAGCAAUGGAUCAGAAUGAUUUUUCCAGAGUAAAUUAUAAUUUAACACUUUCUACUUAGUGAUAAUAGAAUUAAUAGCAAUGACUUAGUUUAUUUGUGCAUUUAACACAUAUUUCUUGAGUCCUUGCUAUGUGUGCCAGACAUUGUUCAAGAUGUGGAACAAUGGUAACCAAAACCGAAUCAGUGUGCCCCCAAAACAGCCAUUUCUUGUCCUCGUAGGUCUUAGAACAUAAUGGAGCGAGAGAGAAAAAAUCAGAAGAAAAGGGACAAGAAGCUUACAACAGGGUGUGCAAUAGGGGGCAUGAUGGCAAGGCUGGACUCGGAGCAGGAAUUAUCGAGGCGAGGGCAGGAGGCAUACACAUGAGGACAAAUGGAGAAGAAGCACAUCCAUCUACAGUCCCUGAAGAACAAACACUUACAGGAAAUCUCUCAAGAAGCUGUGUUCAGUUACGGAAAAGAAUCUUAAAAAGCAGGCCUAGUGCAGCACUUGGCCCAGGGGAAGUCCAAUUUUAUCACUCAUUAAAUUUUAUUUCUCCUAAUCUAAUGAUAGAACAAUCUACCUAGAAGUUAUUUCCAUUAAUCUGAUUUCCAGGUAAAAACACUUCAAGGUUUACUUUAAAAGAAAGGAAAUCUUAAAAACAUCAGAGCUAAAUAUGCUAUUUUAUAAAAUGAUUUGAGUGAACACACACUGCAGCGCAGGUUCCCACAGAAGGUGACAGAUCAGAGCAAUUACAAAUUGCUAUAGAAAGAGAAUUAAGAAUUAGAAAAGGGAUUAGGGCUAACACUUCAAACAAAACAUUUCUUUUUUGCUCUAGGCAAUGUUUCAUUGAUCUGGGAUAGAUGAACAUUCAAUUUCAAA